UCUCCGUUGGUGAACCAGCGGAGGGAUCAUUAUAGAGUUUUCUAAACUCCCAACCCAUGUGAACUUACCAUUGUUGCCUCGGCAGAGCCUACCCGGUAACUGUUCGGAGAAGCUACCCUGUAGCGAGUUACCCUGGAACGACUUACCCUGUAACGCCUGCCGGUGGACUACUAAACUCUUGUUAUUUUUAAAGUAAUCUGAGCGUCUUAUUUUAAUAAGUCAAAACUUUCAACAACGGAUCUCUUGGUUCUGGCAUCGAUGAAGAACGCAGC
rnacentral:misc_RNA from 1 species